GCGAGCCAUGAGUCAGCCAGAGGAGCACAGGUGAAGGCAAUUCACCUGUGCUGCCAGAAGGGGUGGAGCCUGGCUGCCCCCCUCCUAGACCUAUUUAAGAGCUGACUACCAGAGGGGAAGGAUCUCUUCUGGAGAUUGCUUCUGCUGGUGUUUUGUGGUUGUGCCCAGGAUAGGGGGGAACAAAAGGAAUUACGCCUCACUGCCUACUGUCAGCUACAAAGAAUAUCCAUGAGUCUGUAUCUGCAGAUGAAACAUACUUCUGUAGUUUUCUGCACCGGAUUGUUGGAGCCAUUGCAGUUCAGGUCAAACCAAGGAGUUCCUGUUAACUGCAAUGAAGUUUAUGGACCAAGUUACGCUGACCGUUCAAGGCAUACAAGCCCUUCUAGUAUUACUCAGCUAAAAACUCACAAAAUGUUUUUCUGUUGGGUCUUGUUGUUCUGUUAUUACAUGGGCUGAUCUUUCUUGGAUUAUUUUAUUCAGAACCAUAUUUAUGUUUGAAGAUUCAUCUACAUUCCAUAUCUUGCUGGGAAUAAAAUAGAAAAGCAACUUCACCACAUGCAAACUCUUUCUCUGCUCCUUAAACAAAACAAAACAACUGGAGUAGGAAAAUUUCCUUAAUAAAAACGUUAACCUAGCCAAAUUCUCUGGAUUUCAACUCAGCUCCAGUACUCAGAAAAAGAAAGUGACUCUUUGACCCAAAAAGACAGAUUCUUUAUUAGUAUAAAGCUCAAAGUUCCAAAUUCAUCUAACACAAAUCACUGCUUCAAAACGUGGAAAGAAAUUUGGUAUAUGUCAGCAGCACAGCAUCCCUUCCAACAAAUGAAGGGAGAACAAAGGGAAAGAGGAUUGUGAGUAAGGUUCUGAACUAUCAUUUUUUGCUUAUAGUCAGUUUUCAGAAGUAGAGACAUUAGCAUUGACUGACAUAAUCAACACCUAGUCAGGUUUUUCUACUGAAAGAUAAAUUAGGCUGCUUUGAUAUAGUCUUCCCACACAAAACUGCAUAUUUCCUCUUUGCAUGAUGGAGGAAUUGGAAUUGGCUAACAUUAGGCACUUAAAUGACAAUGAACUUCAGCAAUGUUAAGAAUGCCGCCUUUCAGCUAUUCAUAUUAUUGAGAUUGAAGGGUUGUGUUUUUCAUGUGACAUAAUUGUUCCUGUUCCAGAUACUUUGUAAUUUAAAAAAAAAAAAAAGGUUUUCUAUUUUCUCUUCCUUGUUCUUAAAAGACUCACUGAAGCAAAAUUUCAGUGUAAGAUUAAUGCCACUCUGAAACAGAUAAGUUUCUAACAAACAGAAAAAAUUGAGUGUUAAUUAACAGCAUGAAUUGAACUAAUGUUCCUCCUGCAGAGGUUUUUCUUCUGAGCUUUCAGACUGAAAGUGGAAAUGGGCUCCACAGUGAGGUGGUUGAGCCACCUUCCCUGGAUGUGUUCAAAAACUGUUUGUACGUGGUGCUCAGGGACAUGAUUUAGUGAAGAGUUGUUUGUUAGGGUAGUGUGGAUAGGCUGUGGGUGGACUCGAUGAUCUUUAAGGUCUUUUCCUUACCAAACCGAGCAAUUCUAUGAUUCUAUGAUUAUUUUCUUGGAUAUACAACAGCUGCUCCAAAAGUAAUGCCUCCUAUAUAGAGAGAUUUUUAAUGUUAGUCUAUGACAUCAGAAGUACCUGUUGGUGAUAUGGCAGUAAAAAUUGAACCU